GAGGCGGUGGCUGAGGGGUCUCGAACCCCUUUCUCAGAGCCGCCGGCAGGGGGCGCGCGCGCGGCAGACGGCGGCUUCUCACUUUGGCUCCUCGCGAGACCCGUCGCCUGGCGCUGUGGAGGGAAAACACCGCUGGGCCUUCGAGGCCGCGGCGUCUUUCAGCCCUCGCAGGCCGGCUAGAGUCUGCCUGCUGUGAUGCUGGAGAAGGAGGCGGGGGUCUGAGGAGCAGCAAGGAUUCGCAUACCGCCCAACUGAUAGGGACAGAGGAUCUUUGUCAUGUCAUCACCAAGACUGGCUUUAUGGCUUUAUGGAGAGAGUCGUUAAUCAAGGCAAGCAGGGCGCUCUGCAUAUCCAGGCCUGGAGAAGAAGACCACCUCCAUUGAGAACACUUGUACCUGGGAGAAUGUGAAUGUGAUUCAGCCUUUCCUGCAAAUAACUAGACUUCAUCAUUGGCAUUAUUACUUGUAGGACAUCUCUGUGGGAUCCAUCUCCCAUGAUGUAAGAAAUGUAACCCACCCCUGAGAGUCUUACCUGGAGAGAAAUUUGCCAGCCAUGUGACAGAGCCAUUUUGGAAGCAGACCCUCAAGCCUUAGUCUAGCUGUCCGGCUGACAUCUAGUGGAGCAGAGAUGAGUUGUCCCCACUGAGCCCUGACCAAAUGGCAGAUUGGUGAGCAAAGUAAAUGAUUGUUUGAGGUGGUUUGUUUUAUCGAAGUAGAUAAUAGAAUAUUGCCCUUGAAUGGGAUCUGGUUGUGUAUUUUGCUUUGGGCAGUAAAAUGUGGAGAAGCGAUAUAUAACCUACACCUAAACUUAAAAGGACCUUGGGAGCUUCUGAUUCCAUCUUGGUGCCUUGCUUUUGGAGCCUGUUGGAAGAUCAGGGAUAUGUGCCCAGAUGCUCUUUGCCCUAGCCAAUAGCCACCCUUCCUCCAGAAAUG